rnacentral:lncRNA from 1 species
ACAAAGGAAUACACACAAGAGCUUCAAUCAAUUUUGCGCAGAAGACGUGGAGCCGAAGGGCUUGCUAAUGAUUUUAGGAAAUACUUGACAUCUAGGAAAGCCAUGAAAAAGGAAAUCUGCAAGGCGUUAAAGAAUUUGAAGCAUAUACAGAAUAAACUCAGUACUCCUGGCGAGAAUGUAGCUGUGAUUAGCGUCUUAAGAGAUGUAGAAGCAGUUACCAUCAGCGUGCUAGAAUCCGUAUUGUCCUUUAUUUCAGGGCCAGAGGCAGAAUCAAAAUCGAGCCGUUGGCCGCUGGUUUCGAAGCUAAUGCAC